CACACACGUUGGGUGCAAACACAGUUUUCCAAAUUAGGCUUACUUUCUGGUGGAACGCGGUCUUUGUGGGGGCAGCCAGACAAGCUUCGAUGGGGUCGCCACAGCAGACCAUCCGUGAUCCGCAUAUUUGACUUGGCGCAGGUUUUACGCCGGAUGCCCAAUCCUGACGCAACCCCCAGUGGCUGGGGUACUCUCACUCACACAUACGGGGCAAUUUAGAGUCUCCAAUUCACUUAACCUGCAUGUUUUUGGACUUGUGGGGGAAACCAGAGCACCCGGAGGAAACCCACGCAAACACGGGGAGAACAUGCAAACUCAAGGCACUUCAUCCUUGGAAAUAAGGAAUAUUCCAAACUCCUGUUGAACUCUGCCAGUGGAUGAAGCUGAUGACGACAGCACAGAACACACUAGUGGAGACGAUGCGCUGUGAAGAGCAGCUGCACAUGACAGCGACAUCCAGUGCCCAGAAUAUUAAUUUCAUAUAAUUUCUCCAUAGCAGGCCUAGUUCUGUUUCUAAAGUCUAUUGGAGCAGUCUAUCGGAGCAGUCGGAGGGCCGCAGAUGGCCUGCGGGCCGGACUUGGGACACCCCUGAACUAUACAGUUUAUCAGUACAAGCAUUCUUUAGUAAUAAUCUUCCUCCUUUAUUGGCAAAAAACAACUGCUGUAGAAUUCCAAUAAAAUGCAAUAAAAAUAAUGCUUCCUGUCAGUCA